rnacentral:rRNA from 1 species
AGCGAACGCUGGCGGCAAGCUUAACACAUGCAAGUCGAACGGUUGUAGCAAUACAGCAGUGGCGGACGGGUGCGUAACACGUGGGAAUCUGCCUUUAGGUAAGGAAUAACUCAGGUAAACUUGAGCUAAUACCUUAUAAUGUCUUUGGAUCAAAGAUUUAUCGCCGAAAGAUGAGCCCGCGGUGGAUUAGCUAGUUGGUGGGGUAAUGGCCUACCAAGGCGACGAUCCAUAGCUGGUCUGAGAGGAUGAUCAGCCACACUGGGACUGAGACACGGCCCAGACUCCUACGGGAGGCAGCAGUGGGGAAUAUUGGGCAAUGGGCGAAAGCCUGACCCAGCUAUGCCGCGUGAGUGAUGAAGGCCUUAGGGUUGUAAAGCUCUUUUAGGUUGGAAGAUGAUGACGGUACCACCAGAAAAAGCCCCGGCUAACUUCGUGCCAGCAGCCGCCGUAA